CACUAGAAAAAGUAAAGUCCUGGACUAGUAAAUAAUGCUACAAAGUUUCUGGAUCAUAUAAUACAUUUCCAGAUUUCAUGAAUAGAAACAACAGAUGUGCAUAUCACCUUGAUUUCUCUGGUUCUUGCUUACCUGCCAGAUAAUCCUCAUAGUCUGUCUUGAAGAGAAUUCAAAACAUUCCAUUAUGCAAAGAACAAUCAGCAGCUUCAUUGAAUUCUUCAGUGGUAAUGAAUAAGUUCCUUUCUACCACUUACUGAAGAAUAAAUGUAUCACCUUAUACUUCUCCUCCCGUUACCUUGAUCAGGUUCCCCUUGGUGAUAAGUAGCUA
rnacentral:lncRNA from 1 species